rnacentral:rRNA from 1 species
AUUGAACGCUGGCGGCAUGCCUUACACAUGCAAGUCGAACGGUAACGCAGGGCAACCUGGCGACGAGUGGCGAACGGGUGAGUAAUGUAUCGGAACGUGCCCAGUUGUGGGGGAUAACUGCUCGAAAGAGCAGCUAAUACCGCAUACGACCUGAGGGUGAAAGCGGGGGAUCGCAAGACCUCGCGCAGUUGGAGCGGCCGAUAUCGGAUUAGGUAGUUGGUGGGGUAAAGGCUCACCAAGCCAACGAUCUGUAGCUGGUCUGAGAGGACGACCAGCCACACUGGGACUGAGACACGGCCCAGACUCCUACGGGAGGCAGCAGUGGGGAAUUUUGGACAAUGGGCGCAAGCCUGAUCCAGCCAUGCCGCGUGCGGGAAGAAGGCCUUCGGGUUGUAAACCGCUUUUGUCAGGGAAGAAAAGACUCCUGUUAAUACCGGGGGUUCAUGACGGUACCUGAAGAAUAAGCACCGGCUAACUACGUGCCAGCCGCCGCCGUAA